UUCCCGGUGAGUUUUCGAGCUUAAAACGGACGCGGUAAAUCGUGCAAAGGUAGCUAAAUUACGGCCUAUUAAUUGUAGGUCCUGUGAAUGGUUUGACGAGCCUCCAACUGUCUCUAUCCUGUUUUGGUGAACUUGAAUUGGAAGUGCAAAUGCUUCCUUGGAAAAGAAAGACGAGAAGACCCCGUGAAGCUAGAAAUUUAAGCUGCAAGCUUUAGGUGCUUAGGCCUUUAGGCCGGUUAGAUGUAGUGAGGUGGAGCUACAAGACAAGCAAGUUAGUGCAGCGAUGGUUUUGGCUGGGGCAGCAAAAGAGCAAAGCAAGACUCUUUUAGAAAAAAGGCGGGUGCGCUACGAUCCACAGAUCUAUUGUGUUGUGAUAAGCAGAAAAAGUUACUCCGGGGAUAACAGCGUUAUCCGUCCCGAUAGUUCUUAUAGAUGGGCGGGUUUGCGACCUCGAUGUUGGCUCUGGGUAUCCUUAGGCUUGCAGGUGGUCUUUAGGGUUGGUUCGUUCGCCCAUUAAAACCCG
rnacentral:rRNA from 1 species